GCCCCGCCCCUUCCCGGAGCUGCGGAGCCAAUGCGAGAGAAGUGUUGGCUGCUUUGCUGGCGGGUCUCGUUUCAGAUCUCAGAUAUAUGCAUCAUCAUUAACAUACAAACUCAGGAUGUUUCUCCAAGGCAAGAUGAGCUCACAGACCUGUGUCACCUGGCCAGAAUCAUAAACUGGAGACAACCUGACUCACAAAACCAUGAUUAAGAAAGUAAGAAGACUGUGAUUAACCCCAGUUUCUUUGUUCUUCCCCUUUAAAACGUCCCUAACUCAAAGACCAAGAUGGGGUGGAUCUGAGAUCUAUCUCCCACUUCCUUGCUUGGCACCCUGCAAAUAAACCCGUACUUUGCUGCAAA